UACGUAGGGGGCGAGCGUUGUCCGGAUUUAUUGGGCGUAAAGAGCGUGUAGGCGGUUCGGUAAGUCUGUCGUGAAAUCCUGAGGCUCAACCUCGGGCGUGCGAUGGAUACUGCCGGGCUAGAGGGUGGUAGAGGCGAGUGGAAUUCCCGGUGUAGCGGUGAAAUGCGCAGAUAUCAGGAGGAACACCGGUGGCGAAGGCGGGUCUCUGGGCCGAAACUGACGCUGAGGAGCGAAAGCGUGGGGAGCGAACAGG
rnacentral:rRNA from 1 species